CCGAGUUUACAACUCCCAAACCCCUGUGAACAUACCACUUGUUGCCUCGGCGGAUCAGCCCGCUCCCGGUAAAACGGGACGGCCCGCCAGAGGACCCCUAAACUCUGUUUCUGUAUGUAACUUCUGAGUAAAACCAUAAAUAAAUCA
rnacentral:misc_RNA from 1 species